CAAAGGGAGGCGACAAAGAAGUCCUGGGGUGAAGGGGUUGACACUGACUUUGGCAGGUCAUUGCCCCUGUCUGGGCUUCAGUCUCCUCACUAGAAGAACUAGGAAUCUUGAACGUUAGAACUCCUUACGAAUCCUGUGCACAUCAAUAGUGCGUCAGUCUAGAGCUUCCAAGUCAGCCUAGGUUUGGGCUUGGAAGUCUGAAGCAGACAUGGUACUGAAAUGGAGCCAGGGGAGUAGAGUUCCUGUCUAAGGCUCCUGUGGAGUAGAACUACCGCCCAUGUCUGGCUGAUUCGGGUCCAAAGAGCUGUGUCACUAAACUAAACUGCAAAGAAUUGAAAUGCCCAGCCACAUGAGGCACUCUCUAGGGACAAAGAGCUCCUCACAGAAUGGUGUCCCCAUGGGACUCAAAGUGGCCCUCACAACAAAGGGCAGGUUAGGCCUCUCUGCUCAGUUCAACCCAGAUGACUGCCUUAAGAAUUCAGUUUCUUUGACUGGAACAGUAAUCGUUUAGUGAUUAAGAGCACUGACUGCUCUUCGAGAGGACCCAGGUUCAAUUCCCAGCACCUACACAGGAGCUCACAGCCAUCUCUAACUCCAGUCCCAAGGGAUCAAAUGCCCUCUUCUGGCCUCCAGGGGUACUGUAUGUAUAUGGCCACAGUCCUCCAUGCAGGCAAAAUACCCAUACACACAAAAUAUCAAAUUUUCAAUAAAAAAUUGUUUCUGCGCUGAACGGAUAGUUCAGUUGACAGACGGUAUGCUUGGCAUGUGGGAAAACUGAAGCAGGGUGUUCUUAUUCAAAGCCAGCUUAGAGCAGGUAUGUGCCUAUAAUCCUAGCUCUUGGGAGUCACUAACCAGUGCAUCUCUGAAUUCGAGGCCAGCCUGGUCUACCUAGCAUGUUCUAGGUAAGCCAGUACUGCAUGGUGAGACACCCUUCCCCAUUCCAAAACAAAAUGAUCUACAUGGCAAGACAUACACACACCCGAAAAGGAGAAAAAGAGAGAAAGAAAAGUGUAGGUGAGAGCUUUAUAACUCACAUGCGUCCCUCAGGGAUCUGCUGACUCUUCAACACACAGGACGUGUGUAGGACAUCUUGGAGCGUUGCACUUGUGUAGAAUUCAGGAUGAAAUGGAAGGAACACGGGCUUUGCAUGGAACAGCUUCUGUUUGGAAUCUUGACUGAUACCAGCCAUCUGACCAGCCUGAGUCGUUUCCUUCUCAAUAAUGGGGUCUGAUAACCUCUUCUACCAUACAGGGUGGUUGACUAGUGUAUAUAGUCUUGGGAUGCAAAGAGGUCCAUUCUGGCCCUAAAAUCAGAAGGGUGCGUGCGUGCCCGCAACUGGAGACCUGAGCUAGCCAACAGCCCAGUGAUCAAUCGAGGGGUUGACGGCCCACCUCAGGCUCCUCCCUGCUACUAGUCCAGUUACUUGCAUUUCUGUCAGUGGCUGUCUCCCUCAGUGCUUCAGCCAUUUCUGCUACUCCAGGACAGAGGCCGAAGCAGACUUCAUUUUCAGGACUAGACACACAGGGCUGGGUCUGCACCCCCUCUCCCCCAGUAAGUGCCUCACUGGGAAUAGGGCUGGCACAUUGCACUGCCUCUGAGAAGACCACCUGCCAGGGCAUGGGCUGGCUUGGGGACAGGUGCCCUUCUGAGUCAGGUGCUCAGCUCGUGCCAGUUUGCUGUGAGUAGGGCAGUCUUGAGGAAACAGACCUCAGGCUCAUCCCAAAGGGAGGCUCCUGGAAAAAUUGCAACCUGGGCUGUUCAUUAUAGUUCUCCAGGGGUGCAGGCCCACUGAAGGCCAAUUAAGUUAAAACCUUAGCUAGGACCAGGUACCAGUAUUCUUAUAGGACGCCACUGGUAUAUAACAGGUGUCUGAGAAAGUGCACAAACCAAUGUACAGCUCAGUGGAUGUAUAUAAAGGCCAAGAGGUGUCCAUCACCCCAACAGUUCUCCUUAUGCUCAUAGUCACCCAGGCUGGAGACACCAUGGGGUGUGGUUCCCCAGGCAGCAUAGAGAACAGCCUUAAAGGGCAUGAUUGUGGGCGAGAGGAAGCUGGACCAGGGUUAGCUGUGAAGCAGGAACAUGCAAGGAAGGGCGUAACGUGCAGGCGGGGAUAGCAUGCAAGGAGGGGUGUGAGAGCCCAUGAACGAGGGAAGGCUGGAGGGCAGGAUGAACACUGAGGGCAGGGCUUUGCUUCAUCCCUAAGCCCGCUUACUGUAACACAUCAUACAAUAAGUGCUCGAGAAAUGUUGGGUUCGUGUUUAAUGAAAUAAACGUUGGAGAAUCCAGUUGAGAC
rnacentral:lncRNA from 1 species